ACCAGAGUGUGUAUUAGCACAAUCCACUUCCUGUAAUGCAUCAUCAACAAGCAAAACAUCAGUGGCAAAAAAGCUUCCUUAAUUUAUAGCUCCCUUUCGGAAUCUAUCUGCAAAUGAAGUUCUCUCUGUCUCUCUCGCACUUGAGCUCCUCUGACUGAGCCAGACAUGCUGCAUUGGGAGUCGAUUGUUAGUUCCGAGAGAAGAUAAGUUAGGCAGUUAUAUUGUCAGUUUGUCCCUGAGCUGCAGUACUACUGUUCCCUUACGGCCCAGAUGAACACCAUGGAGAGACUAGUGGCCCUGUGCACCUGCCUGCUGCUGCUGCCGGGUGUGCUGGUCAACAUAGAGUGUCCCGACGUCAGCCUUGGCACCACCAGAGCCAGUCCUGGUAUUACCAGUUCCAACAUCACCACUGGCCUCAACAGCACCACCACUGGGCCUAUGAAUGCCAUGCCUAUGAACACCACAAAACCACAAGGACCUGACACAAACCAGACAACCACAAACAACAGCAGCACCACACCCGGCACCAUCACACGGAAUAGUACCACACCUCCCAGACCUCCGAGCAACACCACCGCUCCCCGUGACCUGACCAGUACCACCAGACAGACUCCGACCUCCACUAUUCUUACAACUCAAGGUACUACUAAGACUACUAAGACUCCUCAGACCACAAAGCCAGUGCCCGUCAGCGGUGGUAGCAAAGCAGGAUAUGUUUUAUUCUUCGUCAUCAUUUUGGUUGCUGUCAUCCUCCUGAUCAUUUGUUGCCUCAAAAAGAACAAAUCAAGGAGGUACUCUGUUGACCUACGCAAUAAGCAUGAGGAUGCAGUGAUCCCCCUGAGCGCAGUGGAGGCUGACGCCGUGUUCGACGCUACUCCUGAGAAAGAGAUGGCGACCUUCACUGCCCCAGAAACAGAGCCAGCUGCCCUGGCUCCUGACCCCGCGGGGGACCCAGAGCCUGAGAAGGGGGAGACGGCCUCUGGUUCCCGGGAGCCACUGGUCUCUAAGCAGAAGCCUGAGAAGAUGGACAUGGUGGAUCUAAACGGCACAGAGGCCGCCAUCUCCACCAAAACCUCCAUGGAGUCUCUGGAGGACCAGCUGAAUGACAACAACAGCAACAACUACUGCACUAGAGCCAAUGAUACCUGAGCCUGAUGAAAAGGAUGUUUCCCAGGAUUAAGAUGCAUUGCAACCAUUUCACCUGAAAUGUACUUUCUCACCCUCUCUUCACAACUCUUUAUUAUUGUUUUACUUUUUCAUGUGCAAAUUGAAUUUAUUGUGUGAAAUUAUUGUUCAUCCAUAUUUUGGAUGAAUUUCUUUGUUGUUUAGAUUUUAGAUUCUUGCUAUUCCUGUGUAAAAUAUAUUGUUACUUGUUUGAUUUCUGAAAAUGACUUUGCCCAUUCCUAUGUCAUUUUGAAAAAAUAAAUGUUUACCAUAAUUCA
rnacentral:lncRNA from 1 species